rnacentral:rRNA from 1 species
AUACCAGCUGGCUGCAACUGUUUAUUAAAAACACAGCACUGUGCAAACACGAAAGUGGACGUAUACGGUGUGACGCCUGCCCGGUGCCGGAAGGUUAAUUGAUGGGGUUAUCCGUAAGGAGAAGCUCUUGAUCGAAGCCCCGGUAAACGGCGGCCGUAACUAUAACGGUCCUAAGGUAGCGAAAUUCCUUGUCGGGUAAGUUCCGACCUGCACGAAUGGCGUAAUGAUGGCCAGGCUGUCUCCACCCGAGACUCAGUGAAAUUGAACUCGCUGUGAAGAUGCAGUGUACCCGCGGCAAGACGGAAAGACCCCGUGAACCUUUACUAUAGCUUGACACUGAACACUGGUCCUUGAUGUGUAGGAUAGGUGGGAGGCUUUGAAGUGUGGACGCCAGUCUGCAUGGAGCCGCCCUUGAAAUACCACCCUUUAAUGGCUGGUGUUCUAACGUAGGCCCGUUACCCGGGUUGCGGACAGUGUCUGGUGGGUAGUUUGACUGGGGCGGUCUCCUCCUAAAGAGUAACGGAGGAGCACGAAGGUUAGCUAAUCCUGGUCGGACAUCAGGAGGUUAGUGCAAAGGCAUAAGCUAGCUUGACUGCGAGCGUGACGGCGCGAGCAGGUGCGAAAGCAGGUCUUAGUGAUCCGGUGGUUCUGAAUGGAAGGGCCAUCGCUCAACGGAUAAAAGGUACUCCGGGGAUAACAGGCUGAUACCGCCCAAGAGUUCAUAUCGACGGCGGUGUUUGGCACCUCGAUGUCGGCUCAUCACAUCCUGGGGCUGAAGUAGGUCCCAAGGGUAUGGCUGUUCGCCAUUUAAAGUGGUACGCGAGCUGGGUUUAGAACGUCGUGAGACAGUUCGGUCCCUAUCUGCCGUGGGCGCUGGAGAAUUGAGGGGGGCUGCUCCUAGUACGAGAGGACCGGAGUGGACGCAUCACUGGUGUUCGGGUUGUCAUGCCAAUGGCACUGCCCGGUAGCUAAAUGCGGAAGAGAUAAGUGCUGAAAGCAUCUAAGCACGAAACUUGCCCCGAGAUGAGUUCUCCCUGACCCUUAAAG